CCUACGGGUGGCAGCAGUGGGGAAUAUUGGACAAUGGGGGGAACCCUGAUCCAGCGACGCCGCGUGAGUGAAGAAGUAUUUCGGUAUGUAAAGCUCUAUCAGCAGGGAAGAAAGAAAUGACGGUACCUGACUAAGAAGCCCCGGCUAACUACGUGCCAGCAGCCGCGGUAAUACGUAGGGGGCAAGCGUUAUCCGGAUUUACUGGGUGUAAAGGGAGCAUAGACGGCGAUGCAAGUCUGAAGUGAAAGGCGGGGGCCCAACCCCCGGACUGCUUUGGAAACUGUAUGGCUGGAGUGCGGGAGAGGUAAGUGGAAUUCCUAGUGUAGCGGUGAAAUGCGUAGAUAUUAGGAGGAACACCAGUGGCGAAGGCGGCUUACUGGACUGUAACUGACGUUGAGGCUCGAAAGCGUGGGGAGCAAACAGGAUUAGAUACCCGGGUAGUC
rnacentral:rRNA from 1 species